rnacentral:rRNA from 1 species
CCCGGUGACUCGAGCGGAGUGGACCCACCCGUUCCCAUUCCGAACACGGAAGUGAAACGCUCCAGCGCAGACGAUACUUGAGGGGGAACCCUCUGGGAAAAUAUGCCGUUGCCGGGA